rnacentral:rRNA from 1 species
UGAAUACGAGAUGCUACGGCAUUGAAGCAGUCUAUGUCAGACUUCCAAGAAAAGCUCGCAAUGUCAGAAACAAGAAAUGCCUGUACCAUAACCGACACAGGUGGGUAGGUAGAGUAUACUAAGGGGCGCGAGAUAACUCUCUCUAAGGAACUCGGCAAAAUGACUCCGUAACUUCGGGUGAAGGAGUGCCUUAUUUUAUAAGGUUGCAAUAACAAGAUCCAAGCAACUGUUUACCAAAAACACAGGUCUCCGCUAAGUCGAAAGACGAUGUAUGGGGGCUGACGCCUGCCCAGUGCCAGAAGGUUAAAGAAGUUGGUUAGCCUAGCGAAGCUGAUGACUGAAGCCCUGGUGAACGGCGGCCGUAACUAUAACGGUCCUAAGGUAGCGAAAUUCCUUGUCGGGUAAGUUCCGACCCGCACGAAAGGCGUAAUGAUUUGGAUACUGUCUCGGAGAGGGGCUCGGUGAAAUAGACUUGUCUGUGAAGAUGCGGACUACCUGCACCUGGACAGAAAGACCCUAUGAAGCUUUACUGUAACUUGAGAUUGAAAUUGGACUUUAUUUGCGCAGCAUAGGUGGGAGACGUUGAAAAUAUUCUUGCGGGAAUGUUGGAGUCAUCAGUGAGAUACCACUCUUGUAAUGUUAGAUUUCUAACUUUGUAUCAUUAUCUGGUCAAAGGACAGUUUCAGGCGGGCAGUUUGACUGGGGCGGUCGCCUCCUAAACGGUAACGGAGGCGCACAAAGGUUUCCUCUGAACGUGUAGAAAUCGUAUCUAGAGUGUAAAGGCAUAAGGAAGCUUGACUGUGAGACCUACAAGUCGAGCAGGGACGAAAGUCGGUCUUAGUGAUCUGACGGUGCCGAGUGGAAAGGCCGUCACUCAACGGAUAAAAGUUACUCUAAGGAUAACAGGCUGAUCUCCCCCAAGAGUUCACAUCGACGGGGAGGUUUGGCACCUCGAUGUCGGCUCAUCGCAUCCUGGGGCGGUAGUACGUCCCAAGGGUUGGGCUGUUCGCCCAUGAAAGCGGUACGCGAGCUGGGUUCAGAACGUCGUGAGACAGUUCGGUCCAUAUCCGGUGUAGGCGUUAGAAUAUUGAGAGGAGCCUUCUUUAGUACGAGAGGACCGAGAAGGACAUACCUCUGGUGUACCAGUUAUCGUGCCAACGGUAAACGCUGGGUAGCUAUGUAUGGAGUGGAUAACCGCUGAAAGCAUCUAAGUGGGAAGCCCACCUCAAGAUAAGUAUUCUC